rnacentral:rRNA from 1 species
CUGCCUACGGGGGGCAGCAGUGGGGAAUAUUGCACAAUGGGGGAAACCCUGAUGCAGCGACGCCGCGUGAGUGAAGAAGUAUUGCGGUAUGUAAAGCUCUAUCGGCAGGGAAGAAAAAAAUGACAGUACCUGACUAAGAAGCCCCGGCUAACUACGUGCCAGCAGCCGCGGUAAUACGUAGGGGGCAAGCGUUAUCCGGAUUUACUGGGUGUAAAGGGAGCGUAGGCGGCCACGCAAGCCAGAAGUGAAAACCCGGGGCUCAACCCUGGGAGUGCUUUUGAA